GGGUUGUGAGGUUAAGCGACUAAGCGUACACGGUGGAUGCCCUGGCAGUCAGAGGCGAUGAAGGACGUGCUAAUCUGCGAUAAGCGUCGGUGAGGUGAUAUGAACCGUUAUAACCGGCGAUUUCCGAAUGGGGAAACCCAGUGUGUUUCGACACACUAUCAUUAACUGAAUCCAUAGGUUAAUGAGGCGAACCGGGGGAACUGAAACAUCUAAGUACCCCGAGGAAAAGAAAUCAACCGAGAUUCCCCCAGUAGCGGCGAGCGAACGGGGAGGAGCCCAGAGCCUGAAUCAGUGUGUGUGUUAGUGGAAGCGUCUGGAAAGGCGCGCGAUACAGGGUGACAGCCCCGUACACAAAAAUGCACAUAUUGUGAGCUCGAUGAGUAGGGCGGGACACGUGGUAUCCUGUCUGAAUAUGGGGGGACCAUCCUCCAAGGCUAAAUACUCCUGACUGACCGAUAGUGAACCAGUACCGUGAGGGAAAGGCGAAAAGAACCCCGGCGAGGGGAGUGAAAAAGAACCUGAAACCGUGUACGUACAAGCAGUGGGAGCCUCUUAAUGGGGUGACUGCGUACCUUUUGUAUAAUGGGUCAGCGACUUAUAUUCUGUAGCAAGGUUAACCGAAUAGGGGAGCCGAAGGGAAACCGAGUCUUAACUGGGCGUUAAGUUGCAGGGUAUAGACCCGAAACCCGGUGAUCUAGCCAUGGGCAGGUUGAAGGUUGGGUAACACUAACUGGAGGACCGAACCGACUAAUGUUGAAAAAUUAGCGGAUGACUUGUGGCUGGGGGUGAAAGGCCAAUCAAACCGGGAGAUAGCUGGUUCUCCCCGAAAGCUAUUUAGGUAGCGCCUCGUGAAUUCAUCUCCGGGGGUAGAGCACUGUUUCGGCAAGGGGGUCAUCCCGACUUACCAACCCGAUGCAAACUGCGAAUACCGGAGAAUGUUAUCACGGGAGACACACGGCGGGUGCUAACGUCCGUCGUGAAGAGGGAAACAACCCAGACCGC
rnacentral:rRNA from 1 species